rnacentral:rRNA from 1 species
CGCGGUAUUUUGACCGUGCGAAGGUAGCAUAAUCAUUAGUCUUUUAAUUGAAGGCUUGUAUGAAGGGUUGGACGAGAAAUGAGCUGUCUUUAUUGAAAGAAUAGAAUUUAACUUUUAAGUGAGAGGGCUUAGAUAUUCUAAAGGGACGAUAAGACCCUAUAAAGUUUGACAUUUUAUUUAUUAAGAAAUAAGAUAAGCAGGUAAUUUUUAUUAAUGAGAUAGUGUUUUGUUGGGGCGAUUAGAAUAUAAAAAAUUUAACUGUUUUAUAUUAAUACAAAAAUAUUUGAGUUUUUGAUCCUUAAUAAAGAUAUUAGAGUAAAUUACUUUAGGGAUAACAGCGUAAUUUUUUUUGAGAGUUCUUAUCUACAAAAAAGUUUGCGACCUCGAUGUUGAAUUAAAGAAUUCUUUAUGGCGCAGAAGUUAUAAAAGAAGGUCUGUUCGACCUUUAA